rnacentral:rRNA from 1 species
GUCCAGACUCCUACGGGAGGCAGCAGUGGGGGAUAUUGCACAAUGGGGGAAACCCUGAUGCAGCGACGCCGCGUGGGUGAAGAAGCGCCUCAGCGCGUAAAGCCCUGUCAGCAGGGAAGAAAAUGACGGUACCUGAAGAAGAAGCCCCGGCUAACUACGUGCCAGCAGCCGCGGUAAUACGUAGGGGGCAAGCGUUAUCCGGAUUUACUGGGUGUAAAGGGGGCGCAGACGGCGAUGCAAGCCAGGAGUGAAAGCCCGGGGCCCAACCCCGGGACUGCUCUUGGAACUGCGUGGCUGGAGUGCAGGAGGGGCAGGCGGAAUUCCUGGUGUAGCGGUGAAAUGCGUAGAUAUCAGGAGGAACACCGGUGGCGAAGGCGGCCUGCUGGACUGCAACUGACGUUGAGGCCCGAAAGCGUGGGGAGCAAACAGGAUUAGAUACCCCAGUAAAU